GAUGAACGCUGGCGGCGUGCUUAACACAUGCAAGUCGAACGGUGAAGGCGGAGCUUGCUCUGCUGGAUCAGUGGCGAACGGGUGAGUAACACGUGAGCAAUCUGCCCCUGACUCUGGGAUAAGCGCUGGAAACGGCGUCUAAUACUGGAUACGAGCUUCGAAUGCAUCUUCAGCAGCUGGAAAGAACUUCGGUCAGGGAUGGGCUCGCGGCCUAUCAGCUUGUUGGUGAGGUAACGGCUCACCAAGGCGUCGACGGGUAGCCGGCCUGAGAGGGUGACCGGCCACGCUGGGACUGAGACACGGCCCAGACUCCUACGGGAGGCAGCAGUGGGGAAUAUUGCACAAUGGGCGAAAGCCUGAUGCAGCAACGCCGCGUGAGGGACGACGGCCUUCGGGUUGUAAACCUCUUUUAGCAGGGAAGAAGCGAAAGUGACGGUACCUGCAGAAAAAGCGCCGGCUAACUACGUG
rnacentral:rRNA from 1 species